rnacentral:rRNA from 1 species
AGUCGAACGGCAGCACGGAGCUUGCUCUGGUGGCGAGUGGCGAACGGGUGAGUAAUAUAUCGGAACGUACCCUAGAGUGGGGGAUAACGUAGCGAAAGUUACGCUAAUACCGCAUACGAUCUAAGGAUGAAAGUGGGGGAUCGCAAGACCUCAUGCUCGUGGAGCGGCCGAUAUCUGAUUAGCUAGUUGGUAGGGUAAAAGCCUACCAAGGCAUCGAUCAGUAGCUGGUCUGAGAGGACGACCAGCCACACUGGAACUGAGACACGGUCCAGACUCCUACGGGAGGCAGCAGUGGGGAAUUUUGGACAAUGGGCGAAAGCCUGAUCCAGCAAUGCCGCGUGAGUGAAGAAGGCCUUCGGGUUGUAAAGCUCUUUUGUCAGGGAAGAAACGGUGAGAGCUAAUAUCUCUUGCUAAUGACGGUACCUGAAGAAUAAGCACCGGCUAACUACGUGCCAGCAGCCGCGGUAAUACGUAGGGUGCAAGCGUUAAUCGGAAUUACUGGGCGUAAAGCGUGCGCAGGCGGUUUNGUAAGUCUGAUGUGAAAUCCCCGGGCUCAACCUGGGAAUUGCAUUGGAGACUGCAAGGCUAGAAUCUGGCAGAGGGGGGUAGAAUUCCACGUGUAGCAGUGAAAUGCGUAGAUAUGUGGAGGAACACCGAUGGCGAANGCAGCCCCCUGGGUCAAGAUUGACGCUCAUGCACGAAAGCGUGGGGAGCAAACAGGAUUAGAUACCCUGGUAGUCCACGCCCUAAACGAUGUCUACUAGUUGUCGGGUCUUAAUUGACUUGGUAACGCAGCUAACGCGUGAAGUAGACCGCCUGGGGAGUACGGUCGCAAGAUUAAAACUCAAAGGAAUUGACGGGGACCCGCACAAGCGGUGGAUGAUGUGGAUUAAUUCGAUGCAACGCGAAAAACCUUACCUACCCUUGACAUGGCUGGAAUCCNNGAGAGAUNNNGGAGUGCUC